CCUACGGGAGGCUGCAGUGGGGAAUAUUGCACAAUGGGCGCAAGCCUGACGCAGCCAUGCCGCGUGUGUGAAGAAGGCCUUCGGGUUGUAAAGCACUUUCAGCGGGGAGGAAGGCGUUAAGGUUAAUAACCUUGGCGAUUGACGUUACCCGCAGAAGAAGCACCGGCUAACUCCGUGCCAGCAGCCGCGGUAAUACGGAGGGUGCAAGCGUUAAUCGGAAUUACUGGGCGUAAAGCGCACGCAGGCGGUCUGUCAAGUCGGAUGUGAAAUCCCCGGGCUCAACCUGGGAACUGCAUUCGAAACUGGCAGGCUAGAGUCUUGUGGAGGGGGGUAGAAUUCCAGGUGUAGCGGUGAAAUGCGUAGAGAUCUGGAGGAAUACCGGUGGCGAAGGCGGCCCCCUGGACAAAGACUGACGCUCAGGUGCGAAAGCGUGGGGAGCAAACAGGAUUAGAUACCCUAGUAGUC
rnacentral:rRNA from 1 species